rnacentral:rRNA from 1 species
GUCUACAGCCAUGCUACCCUGAACAAGCCCGAUCCUCUCUGAUCUUGGAAGGUAAGCAGAAUCGGACCUGGUUAGUACUUGGAUGGGAGACCACCUAGGAAGAUCAGGUGCUGUAGGCA